rnacentral:rRNA from 1 species
UCGAGAAUCUUCGGCAAUGGGGGCAACCCUGACCGAGCGACGCCGCGCGCGAGAUGAAGGCCUUCGGGUUGUAAAUCGCUGUCAGAGGGGAGGAAAUGCUAGUGGGUUCUCCCACUAGUUUGACCUAGCCUCAGAGGAAGGACGGGCUAAGUUCGUGCCAGCAGCCGCGGUAAGACGAACCGUCCAAACGUUAUUCGGAAUCACUGGGCCUAAAGGGUGCGUAGGCGGUCCGGGAAGUUGGGUGUGAAAGCCCUCGGCUCAACCGAGGAAUUGCGUCCAAAACUGCCGGGCUGGAGGGAGACAUAGGUGAGCGGAACUUAGGGUGGAGCGGUGAAAUGCGUUGAGAUCCUAAGGAACACCAGUAGCGAAAGCGGCUCACUGGGUCUCUUCUGACGCUGAUGCACGAAAGCCAGGGGAGCGAAGA